CCAGCCGGACAGUGAAACGCACAAUGUCAGGAGUAACGCGGCUUCACAACCGGAAAAUGGGUGAUUUUAUGGCAAAGAGUUUAUAAAAACAUCCCUUGGACUUUAUUUUAUGACAAAAGAUAGGAAAACACCUCUUAAUCUAUUUCAAAAUAGUAAUUAGCCAAUGUUUAAAUUUCAAGAGGAAAAAUCCGAAUUACAGGAUUUUAAAGAAUAUGGUUUUAGGCCAGGCGCGCCUGGUGGCUCAGGCCUAUAAUCCCAGCACUUUGGGAGGCCGAGGCGGGAGGAUCGCUUGAGCCCAGUUCAGACCAGCCUGGGCAACACAGUGAGACCCCGUCUCUUAAAAAAAAAAAAAGGUAAAAAAAAAAAGCUUGUAGUGUUCAUAUGUAUAUAUAUAUAUUAUUCAAUAUAUUACGGUAACUAAGUCCUGCCUAGUAAAAUCUUUUUUUUUGUAAUAAAAUUAGCAACUCACUAAAUUUAUGUGAAUAUAUGGUUUUAAAAACUCUCAAUGAAGAUUAAAAGUUCACUGUCAGAGGUUUCAGCAGUCCUUUCCCAAGCUUAUUUACAUGCUAAUUUUGCUUAGUAAACUCUGGCUUCAAAGAACACAAAGGUCAGCUGCCACCAGGUCCCUCCUCCGAGGCUUUGGCCCUAGGGACCCUGGGAAGGCGGCUUCAGUGCCCGCUUCCCUGAGCAAAGGCUCGUCUGGACUCUGACGCGGACCCACCGGGUGGGGUGGGUCUCCACGCCACCCGGCUGUGCGUGGGGCAAGUCCUGCACCCCGGGCCUGCGUUUCCCGCUGCGUGAACGGAUGGUCUUGCGAAUCUAGCCAAGGGCACACAGCGAGCCUCUACUCGGGCAUUAGGCAGGCUGUAACGACUGAGUGCUGCACGGGCAGCGUCCUUUUGCUUGUGUUUUCUUAACCCGUAAGUCAUUUAAAGCUUUGUUUUGGAACGACCCUCUAGUGAAAUUGGAACAUGCCCAUUUAAUGCCAUAUUUUAAAAACGCUGUAACCCCCUCCCAUCUCCGCGUUCACCCUUGAGGAAAUCCUAACAGUCACCAUGGAUAUAAACAUUAAUAACAAAAUUAAAGCUCAUAACAGGC
rnacentral:lncRNA from 1 species